rfam:Termitomyces sp. J132 unplaced genomic scaffold scaffold43, whole genome shotgun sequence.
GGUGCUAUAGUGUAGUGGUCAUCACUCGGGAUUUUGAUACUAUGAGCUAUAUGUAUAGUAAAUUCCCGAAACCCAGGUUCGAACCCUGGUAGCACCU